GGUAGUCCACGCCCUAAACGAUGUCAACUAGCUGUUGGGGCCUUCGGGCCUUAGUAGCGCAGCUAACGCGUGAAGUUGACCGCCUGGGGAGUACGGUCGCAAGAUUAAAACUCAAAGGAAUUGACGGGGACCCGCACAAGCGGUGGAUGAUGUGGAUUAAUUCGAUGCAACGCGAAAAACCUUACCUACCCUUGACAUGUCUGGAAUCCCGAAGAGAUUUGGGAGUGCUCGCAAGAGAACCGGAACACAGGUGCUGCAUGGCUGUCGUCAGCUCGUGUCGUGAGAUGUUGGGUUAAGUCCCGCAACGAGCGCAACCCUUGCCAUUAGUUGCUACGAAAGGGCACUCUAAUGAGACUGCCGGUGACAAACCGGAGGAAGGUGGGGAUGACGUCAAGUCCUCAUGGCCCUUUUGGGUAGGGCUUCACACGUCAUACAAUGGUCGGGACAGAGGGUCGCCAACCCGCGAGGGGGAGCCAAUCCCAGAAACCCGAUCGUAGUCCGGAUCGUAGUCUGCAACUCGACUACGUGAAGUCGGAAUCGCUAGUAAUCGCGGAUCAGCAUGUCGCGGUGAAUACGUUCCCGGGUCUUGUACACACCGCCCGUCACACCAUGGGAGUGGGUUUCACCAGAAGUAGUUAGCCUAACCGCAAGGGGG
rnacentral:rRNA from 1 species